rnacentral:rRNA from 1 species
UGAGUAACACGUAUCCAACCUGCCGUCUACUCUUGGACAGCCUUCUGAAAGGAAGAUUAAUACAAGAUGGCAUCAUGAGUCCGCAUGUUCACAUGAUUAAAGGUAUUCCGGUAGACGAUGGGGAUGCGUUCCAUUAGAUAGUAGGCGGGGUAACGGCCCACCUAGUCUUCGAUGGAUAGGGGUUCUGAGAGGAAGGUCCCCCACAUUGGAACUGAGUCACGGUCCAA